rnacentral:tRNA from 4 species
GCGUUCGUAGCUCAAUUGGAUAGAGCAUCUGACUACGGAUCAGAAGGUUGUGGGUUCAAGUCCCGCCGAGCGCACCA